AUUGAACGCUGGCGGCAGGCCUAACACAUGCAAGUCGAACGGUAACAGGGGGCAGCUUGCUGCUUUGCUGACGAGUGGCGGACGGAAGAGAAAUGUAUGGGCAACUGCCUGAGGGAGGGGGCUAACUACUGGAGACGAUAGCUAAUACCGCAUAACGUCGCAAGACCAAAGAGGGUGACAUUCGGGCCUCUUGCCAUCGGCUAUGCCCAGUUGGGAUUAGCUAGUAGGUGGGGUAACGGCCCACCAAGGCGACGAUCCGUAGCUGGUCUGAGAGGAUGACCAGCCACACUGGAACUGAGACACGGUCCAGACUCCUACGGGAGGCAGCAGUGGGGAAUAUUGGACAAUGGGCGCAAGCCUGAUGCAGCAAUGCCGCGUGUAUGAAGAAGGCCUUCGGGUUGUAAAGCACUUUCGGCGGGGAGGAAGAGAGUUGAGUCAAUACCACGGCUCGUUGACGUUACCCGCAGAAGAAGCACCGGCUAACUCCGUG
rnacentral:rRNA from 1 species